CCUACGGGAGGCAGCAGUGGGGAAUAUUGCACAAUGGGGGAAACCCUGAUGCAGCAACGCCGCGUGAGUGAAGAAGGAUUUCGGAUUGUAAAGCUCUGUUAGCAGGGAAGAGGAAGGACGGUACCUGCAGAGGAAGCCACGGCUAACUACGUGCCAGCAGCCGCGGUAAUACGUAGGUGGCAAGCGUUGUUCGGAAUUACUGGGCGUAAAGGGAGCGUAGGCGGGUACACAAGUUAUAUGUUAAAUAUAUCGGCUUAACCGGUAGACUGCAUAUGAAACUGUUGAACUAGAGUGCAGGAGAGGUAAGUGGAAUUCCUAGUGUAGCGGUGAAAUGCGUAGAGAUUAGGAAGAACACCAGUGGCGAAGGCGGCUUACUGGACUGUAACUGACGCUGAGGCAUGAGAGCGUGGGGAGCAAACAGGAUUAGAUACCCUAGUAGUC
rnacentral:rRNA from 1 species